CUGUGUUGUCAUAACGCUUCCGCUUACGGUCUACGAGGAUACGUGGACAACACUCUCACCUCUCGUUGCUAUGCAUCACCUAGAUAGAUCUUGCGUGCGUAGGAAUUUUUUUGAAAUGAUUGUGUUCCCCAACACCUUUAAAUGGGAGGAAGUUUACUUGGGCUAACAACCAGCCUGAACCCAUAUAUGAAAAACUAGAUAGAAUCCUAAUCUGCCCAGAUUGGGAGGAUCAUUAUCCCCUGACUGAGGUGUAUGCACUUGAGAGAGAACUGUCAGAUCAUACUCCCCUGAUCCUUGAUACAGGGGAAAACACAUAUACACCACCUAUUUUUAGAUUUGAAAACUCCUGGAUGAUGAGGGAGGGUUUCAAAUAUUUUGUCAUUAGAACCUGGACUGCACACUACCAUGGUGAUACUAUGGAACAGUGGCAGAGAAGAAUGAGAGUGUUUAGACAAAAAGUAAGAGGGUGGAUUCUUAAUUUUGAUGCUUGGUAUGGGAAAAUUAAAAAGGAGAUUUUAAUGAAAUUAGAUGCAAUAAACAAAAAUGCUGAGGUUAUGGGCCUCUCUGCUCUGGACAGAGAAGAGCAAAAAGACUUAAGGGCCCAAUUACACAGACUGUUAAAACAAGAAGAAAUGAAAUGGCUACAGAGAUAUAAAGACAAAGAAAUUAAAGAUGGAGAUUGUAUUACAAAAUACUAUCAUGCUAAGGUGAAUGGUAGAAGGAGAAAACACAGAAUUCUAUCUUUAAAACAAGAGGAAGGAGUGGUUGAGGGACAAGAAAAUCUUAUUAGAUACAUUACUGAUUUUUACAAAAAAAUUGUUUGGUCAACCAGACACAUCCUCAAUCCAACUGAAUGAUUUGGGGGGGGGGGAAUCAAUUACUAGGGAACAGGCUGAUGAACUAAUUAAACCUUUUUCAAUGGAAGAACUUCAGGAAGUGGUUUUUGGGAUGGAAAAAAUAGAAGUCCUAGCCCUGAUGGAUUACCAGUGGACUUCUAUCAACAUUUUUGGGAUACUGUCAAAUGGGGUUUGAUGAAACUUCUGAAUGAAUUCCAUGAAGGUAAGUUGGAUAUAUCUAGGAUCAAUUAUGGGAUUAUCACUUUGGUCCCAAAAAAUGAGGAUGCUAAGCAAAUCCAAAAGUUCAGACAUGUAUGUUUAUUAAGUGUUAGCUUUAAGAUUGUCACUAAAGUAUUGAUGAAUAGGCUGGGUAGGAUCAUAAAACCUAUUAUCUUACCUACUCAAACUGCUUUCAUCAAAGGGAGAUACAUCAUGGAGGGAAUUGUGAUCCUCCAUGAAGCUCUUAAUUCUAUACACUGUUAAAAACAAAGUGCUAUGAUGUUCAAAGUAGAUUUUGAGAAGGCAUAUGACAAAAUAAAGUGGCCAUUUGUUUACAAAAUGCUUAAAAUGAAACAAUUCCCUGAUAAAUGGUGUGAUCUGGUCAUGCACACUAUGAUAGGAGGGCAGGUGGGGAUUAAGGUGAAUGAUAGGAUUGGCCCUUACUUCAAAACUUAUAAAGGGUUGAGGCAGGGGGAUUCUAUGUCACCAUUACUGUUUGACAUAGCUGCGGAUGCCUUGGCUAUAAUCUUAGAUAAAGUCAAACAUGCAGGUUAUGUCAAAGGGGUGCUGACUGAACUUGGGGACAAUGGGGUGAACAUGCUGCAAUAUGCAGAUGAUACCAUUUUCCUUCUUGAUGAUAAUGAGGAGAGUGCUAAAAAUCUUAAAUUCAUUCAUAUCUUUUGAGCAAAUGUCUGGACUAACUAUUAAUUUCCACAAAAGUGAGGUGUAACUAUUUGGGGAGUCCAAAGACAAAGGAGAAAUAUAUCAAGAAAUUUUUACCUGUAACAAAGGGGAGAUUCCAUUCAAAUAUUUGGGACUGCCUGUUACCAAUGUGAGAUUAGGAAAUAAAUUUUGGAAGAGCAUGAAUGAAAAAAUAGAAAAGAGAUGUGCUUGCUGGCAAGGAAGGUUAUUAAAUAUAGCUGGGAGAGUAACUCUAGUCCAGGCCUGCCUGACAAAUAUGCCUAUGUAUAAGAUGUCCAUCUAUCCCCUGCCAGUAGGGAUUAGGAAGAAAACAGAUUUCUUCAGAGCUAGAUUAGUCUGGCAGGAGAGUGAGGAUAAAAAGAAAUACCAUCUAGUCAACUGGAAAACAUGUUGCUUGCCAAAGGAAUUGGGUGGCUUAGGUAUAUUGAAUCUUGAGUAUAUGAAUAAAGCCUUGCCGGAAAAAUGGCUAUGGAAGCUAGAGACAGAAGAUGGGAUGUGGGCCAAAAUCCUUUUAAAUAAAUAUGUUAAAGGAAAAUAUAUAUAUGGAAAUUAAAAGAAGCCUGGUUAUUCCCAGUUUUGGGGAGCCCUGAUGCGGAUCAAUGACAUUUAUUAUAAAAAUGUUAAGAAAAAUUAGGAGAUGGAAUAAAUACUAGGUUCUGGGAAGACUGGUGGGUAGGAUCAAAACCAUUAAAAGAGGCCUAUCCAAGCCUGUAUUUCAUCAGUCUAAACCAUGAAAUUUCAGUGGCCCGGUCCAUUGACAUGAGAUGGGAGGGUUUUGAGUUUAGAAGAAAUUUAUCUGAAGACAAAAGAGCUCUACGGGAGAGUUUGAAAACCAGAUGUGAAGAAGUGAGAAUGUAUGAGGGCAAAGAUCAGCCGAUGUGGAUGCUGACAGCCAACAGACAAUUCUCUAUGAGGUCGUUAUAUCAAUAGUUAGUAAAAACAGAUGUAGGCUUCCCACACAAAUUCCUUUGGAAGGUGAAAAUCCCAGCGAAAAUUAAGAUGUUUCUAUGGCUGAUUGCCAGAAAAAGUAUACUAACCAGAGAUAAUCUUGUAAAAAGAGGGUGGAAAGGGGAUCAAAUAUGUGUGUUCUGUGGCCAAAAUGAAAAUAUAGAUCAUCUUUUUUUCUCUUGCUCCACUGCAAGGCUACUCUGGAGCUUGAUAAAGUGCUCAUUCAAUUUAAAAACAACCCCAGAUGGGGUUGAUGAUUGUCUGGGCACCUGGAUUAGGAAAUUCAAAAAAGAGGAUAAAAAUUAGUGCUAGUUGGAAUGUCUGCAAUUCUCUGGGCUAUUUGGAAAUGUCGAAAUGAUAUAAUUUUUCAAGAUAAAUUGGUCAAUGAUCCCAUGAAGUUGGUAAAACGAACUUGUAAUUGGAUUGUGGAUUGGGCUAUUUUGCAGAGAAAAAAACCAGGACAAAACCUACUGAUGAUGGGGGCAAGGCUAAUCGGGCGAGUAGCAAGUGAGAUCUAUAGAGCUUCGCAGGGAUGGAGAGCUGGAGUUCCUCGCCUGACGAACUGAAGAUUUCGUUUCCUGAUGUUAGCUCGAUUUUACUCUCUUGCGUAGUCUGCUGGAGGUUACGCCCUCUCUGUCAAAUGGGUCGCCUAUGACCCCGAAGAACUUAAGCUUGAUCGUUGCCUUUUGAGAUGGUUUCCUUGGAUAUUGGUAGUUUUAAGUAGGUUGCACGUCUGUAGUGAACUGAUACUGGUGAUGGUUUCGUUAAUGAAAUCGGAGCCCCCCUCUUUUGCUCAAAAAAACUGGCAGCACCUUCUUCCCUGUGAAUUCUCGCGAGAAGGCGCCAUGGUUCCUACGCCCACCGGUAUAGGUGAGCCAGCAGCCGCUCUCUCUCUCUCUCGCUCUGUGUGUGUGUGUGUGCCGUGCAGCCAUGGUUGUCGGGGGAAAUCUGGAGUCAUGAGGGUAAGGAACAAAACCUAGAUCGGGGUCGUUGCCUCGUUCGGCAUGGAGAUUGUGAAGAGGUUCCGGCGAGGCGAUUACCGCGCCCGUGGAUUCGCGUUCCAUCUCGCAGCGGCAUGUUCGGUUCAUAGGUUAACGGCCGCCUCCUCACAACAGUGGCGAGUAUAGGAUCGUAGAACUAAGGGAGCAACAAUUUACAUGCACAACGCAUGCAUAACAUAACCUCGAUACAUAUGUUUGAAAACUGUACUGGAAGUGUUAUAAUUUGGUCUCUAUAUCAUUAAGCUUGUAGUAAUCCAGUGUUAAAUAUAUGGUAUAAAUUGUUUUGCAUAGUUGUAGGGGGUGCCUCACAGCCCCUAAAACCCCUCCCCCUCGGCCUCCGUCGAAUCCAAAAAAGCCGGCACACAUCCUCAGCUAGUCACAUCAGAUCCACCAUCUCGCAAUACGCUUACUUAUGUUUUGGUUUAUCUGCAGAACUUUCUUACAAAAUCCCAAACAUAGUCAAGCUGUUGUUCGAGACACCCUCUGGCUUCGCACUUUUCUCUUUUGAUAAGAGAUACCUCGACAAACAUAUUGAGGACAUCUGGGUAUACUUCGUGGGUGAAUAUUGGCAUCAAAAUAUCAUCUGGCUGCAUGAAUUCCAAAAGUUUGAGGACAAGUCGGACGCCAUUGACCUUACAAAUGGAAAAUAGGCAAAGACAUGAACAUGCUGAUCAUGAACUACUACUACUCUGAUGACAAACUAAUUGUUGGAAGCCUUGCAUAUAAAGAAAUAAUUGAAGAAUCACUGGGGCUAACAUGUGUGUACAAUGAUGACGCUGUGACGGAGGUGAUGUGGGGUGUGCAGAAUAUCAUGCAUACUUUAGUGCCUCAAGAACAAUAUGAGAUUAGUAAGGAGGACCUGAUCCUGAGCCACGGGCUGAAUAUGGUCUUAAAUCUACAUGACAUUGUAGUCAAGAAAGAUAUGAUUAAUGAGUGUAUUAUUGAGAAGGCCAGCAAGGUGCAUCAUAUCGACAUGCGUGAAGAAGAACAUUUAGUUUUCUUGCACGAACGCUUGCUGAGGAUUUCAGGACGUUUUCCAAAGUCGACAUCGAGGAGUGGAGCUUAUUCAAACUUGCGACAGCGUUGAAGUUGAUGUUCGAUCCUCAUGGAGGGCUUAAAGCUGGUGAUGCAGAUGAGAUGUUCACGCGUGCUGAGCUUACAAUGAUGUCGCGUGAUGCGCCUCGAUACCAUGGGAUGAUAAGUAAGAACAUUGUCUUGGCAAUCUACAAUGAUGUUGUUACUCUCCAAGAGGACAAGGUGAAGUUGCUUACUAGUAGAAAAAGGGUCAAAUGUUCAGCUCAUUAGCCCCGGUUUAUAUUUAAGCCGACACUAAUGUGACCAUUAGUGCCGGUUCCAACAGCUAGGCGGGCCGCUCUCAUUAGUACCGGUUCAUGCCGAACCUUUAGCACCGGUUCGUGCCACGAACCGGUACUAAAGAGAGUAGUGGCGGGAUGUUGUCAGUCUGUGGCCCCUCCAGCACCUUUAGUACCGGUUGGUGGCACGAACCGGUACUAAAGGUCGUCCUAUAUAAACCCUUCGUCCACCCGCGAGCGAGCGAGCUCUGUUUUCCCCCUUUCCCCUCUCCUCUUUGUUCUUCCCCUCUAUACCUCGAGCUCAUCACACAUUUUUCCCAAAAUUUGUCAAGAUUUGAUGGCCCCCAUCCAUUCAAGUGAUCACAAAGGUGUGGUUUACUUGGUGCCUUCCCGUCUCCGUCCUAACCACCGUCGAUCGUCCGCACCGUCCUGUCGCCGGCACCACCUUGUGGGGUAUGUGAGCCGGAAAUUCCAACCGACCCUAUUGUCGAGAGG